rnacentral:tRNA from 1 species
GGGGAUGUAGCUCAGCGGUACAGCGCCUGCCUGGUAAGCAGGAAGUUGUGAGUUCGAUCUCCUGGUACCA